GCGGGCUUGCUGUCAUACGAAGAUUGGAACCACCAAGCUGUCGGCUUCAUUUAUCAGCUUCCCAAGCUGAUAACGAGGGUUCGACUCCCUUCACCCGCUCCA
rnacentral:tRNA from 2 species